rnacentral:lncRNA from 1 species
UACUGAAUACUUCCUGACCAGUUCUAUGUCUUUUCUAACCUCUUCAACCUCACGGGACCCCAAGGCCAUGAGGUAAGGUGUGGCUGGAUGGCGUGGCUCCUUUUCAGUCCUGGAAGGUGUGAAUGGAGGGAGGAGGACCUGUUCAGGGCAGGGCUGAGCAGCCUAGUCUCAGGUGCAGAGCAGCUUCCCCAAAGUGGAGGACAGGCCAGAAAACUGUCUGCUGAAGUGUUUGGGUUUCCUGGGCAUUAGGGGAAGAGUUUGGGUUUAUCUACAGUCCUUCUAAUUUUUUCAUAUUGUUAUGUUUGUACAGUUAGAGGUAUUAUGCAAAAUGGAAUGGAGGAGCCAAAUGUUACUUCCUCUCAUGGUAACCCUAAAUUAUGCUUGCUCUCAUGGUCUCUUUUUCCUUUCCCAGCUCUAGAUUCUCUUUGUUCUUUCCCAGUAGAGGAAUCCCAAGGAGGACUGAUCUGUUUUGGCAGGUGCAAAACCAUGCCAAGCAGCUGUGAGGAGAGAAGAGGAGGAAGCGCCAGGGAGCCCAGAGCCACCAGACAGUGACGCCACAGAGCCACAGCCAUCACACCCGCACAGACACACACCGUCCUCCGCCGUUCAGGCCCGAGAGUCCCGUGAGGACUGGUGUCCCUACUACUGGCCUCCACGCUGUGAGCGCUUCCACUGCCACCCCUCCUGGUUCACGUCGGGCUCCGAAGUGACUCGCUUCACAGGAUUCCCGCAUCCUGUGCUAACACAUCCACAAAUGAGCUCCACUCACCCUGCAAAGAGGGAGAACCGCGCGAAAACGGAAAUGGAAGCCGAAGAUCUGGAGUGACCGCUGCCCUCUGGGAAGUGUCGCUCCAACCUGAACAUCUCUGGGCGCGGCGGCUCGUCCAAAAGGCCGCGGAAGUCCCGUUGGAACUGCAGCUCGAGAACCGCCCGGAGCCCGGCCCGAGCGCAGGUCUCUCCUCCAGGAGCGCGACGCGAGGGCGCGUGCGCGGGCACGGAGCCUGCGCGGAGGCCGCUGGUGCGCCCAGGAGGCCGAGCAGGGGGGUCCGGCGCCGGCUCCGAGCGUCCGGCCUGUGCGCGCAGAGCCGCGGGGGAGGAUCGGCGGGGCGGCCCCGGGGCGAGAGCGCACGGCGGGUGUGAGCUCUGAGGGCGGGCCCCGGGCGAGUCCCCUCAGGCGGCUGCAGCCUGGGGACAGCAUAUGGGGCAAGCAACUCCUGAUCCCGCCGGGGAUGGGCUGG